UGCGCAGGCGGGCUUGUAAGUCAGUGGUGAAAUACUGCCGCUUAACGGUAGAACUGCCAUUGAUACUGCAAGUCUUGAAUAUGGUUGAGGUAGGCGGAAUGUGUCGUGUAGCGGUGAAAUGCAUAGAUAUGACACAGAACGCCAAUUGCGAAGGCAGCUUACUAAGCCAUUAUUGACGCUGAGGCACGAAAGCGUGGGGAGCGAACAGGAUUAGAUACCAUGGUAGUCC
rnacentral:rRNA from 1 species